rnacentral:rRNA from 1 species
AGUGAACGCUGGCGGUAGGCCUAACACAUGCAAGUCGAACGGCAGCACAGUAAGAGCUUGCUCUUACGGGUGGCGAGUGGCGGACGGGUGAGGAAUACAUCGGAAUCUACUUUUUCGUGGGGGAUAACGUAGGGAAACUUACGCUAAUACCGCAUACGAUCUACGGGUGAAAGCAGGGGAUCUUCGGACCUUGCGCGAUUGAAUGAGCCGAUGUCGGAUUAGCUAGUUGGCGGGGUAAAGGCCCACCAAGGCGACGAUCCGUAGCUGGUCUGAGAGGAUGAUCAGCCACACUGGAACUGAGACACGGUCCAGACUCCUACGGGAGGCAGCAGUGGGGAAUAUGGGACAAUGGGCGCAAGCCUGAUCCAGCCAUACCGCGUGGGUGAAGAAGGCCUUCGGGUUGUAAAGCCCUUUUGUUGGGAAAGAAAAGCAGCAGGUUAAUACCCCGCUGUUCUGACGGUACCCAAAGAAUAAGCACCGGCUAACUUCGUG